rnacentral:rRNA from 1 species
AGUGAACGCUGGCGGUAGGCCUAACGCAUGCAAGUCGAACGGCAGCACAGUAAGAGCUUGCUCUUACGGGUGGCGAGUGGCGGACGGGUGAGGAAUACAUCGGAAUCUACUUUUUCGUGGGGGAUAACGUAGGGAAACUUACGCUAAUACCGCAUACGACCUACGGGUGAAAGCAGGGGAUCUUCGUACCUUGCGCGAUUGAAUGAGCCGAUGUCGGAUUAGCUAGUUGGCGGGGUAAAGGCCCACCAAGGCGACGAUCCGUAGCUGGUCUGAGAGGAUGAUCAGCCACACUGGAACUGAGACACGGUCCAGACUCCUACGGGAGGCAGCAGUGGGGAAUAUUGGACAAUGGGCGCAAGCCUGAUCCAGCCAUACCGCGUGGGUGAAGAAGGCCUUCGGGUUGUAAAGCCCUUUUGUUGGGAAAGAAAAGCAGCAGGUUAAUACCCCGCUGUUCUGACGGUACCCAAAGAAUAAGCACCGGCUAACUUCGUG